rnacentral:rRNA from 1 species
UACGUAGGGGGCUAGCGUUGUCCGGAUUUAUUGGGCGUAAAGAGCGUGUAGGCGGCCAUGUAGGUCCGGUGUGAAAACUCGAGGCUUAACCUCGAGAUGUCAUCGGAAACCAUUUGGCUAGAGUCCGGAAGAGGAGAGUGGAAUUCCUGGUGUAGCGGUGAAAUGCGCAGAUAUCAGGAAGAACACCCGUGGCGAAGGCGGCUCUCUGGGACGGUACUGACGCUGAGACGCGAAAGCGUGGGGAGCGAACGGG